UACGUAGGGACCAAGCUUUGUUCGGAUUUACUGGGCGUAAAGGGCGCGUAGGCGGCGUGGUAAGUCACUUGUGAAAUCUCUGAGCUUAACUCAGAACGGCCAAGUGAUACUGCUGUGCUAGAGUGCAGAAGGGGCAAUCGGAAUUCUUGGUGUAGCGGUGAAAUGCGUAGAUAUCAAGAGGAACACCUGAGGUGAAGACGGGUUGCUGGGCUGACACUGACGCUGAUGCGCGAAAGCCAGGGGAGCAAACGGG
rnacentral:rRNA from 1 species